AAUAAGAUGCCUGACAAAAGGGUUAUUUUGAUAGAAUAAAUCAUGUGAUAUUUCACUCUUAUUA
rnacentral:tRNA from 1 species